AGGGUGUCUGGGAGGCUAAUUAAUCGGCGUUUUGUUUUAUUAUGCGGAGAAUUUUAGUUUGGCAGUAUUUUUGUGUUUCUUUGCAAAACUGCUGGGAGUUUCAUUUCAAACUUUUUAUUUUUUCUGGACUUUCACUCUUGCCAUUUAGCUCUCCCGUACUACGUGUGUUUUUGUAUUGUUCAUACAUCGCGGAAGGAAUGUUUUUUUCUUUUUGUUAUUAGAUCCAAAGGCACACAAGCAAACAUUUGAACUUGGGGAAAAAGAGGCGCAAUGAAUCGGCAUUCUGACAGAGCCCGGAGCUUGGGCUGGCCUAAAAUAACCACCUUGCUGCUUAGGUUGAAUCGCCAUCUUCUGAGGACUGAAGAACAUCAUGAGGAAAUGACUGUAGAUGAAACUGGUGGACCAUCUGGUUCCCUGUGGUUGGAGGCAUGGCAUUGCAAACACAAAAACAAGCAGCUGCCAGCAAAGUGCUUGUCACACAUACGGCUGGCGCAGAGCUAAUAGAACAGAGGCCUCGGGGUGGUGUCAGCAUGUCUAAACUUACCGCCAUUGCCUUGGUGAUCAGCAACCGUAUGCCUGCUCCCAGAGACAAGUCACGUCACUCUCUCAUUCAUCAGGACCCUCAGCACCACCUCGGACUCGGCAGUCUUGGGAUUCGCCUCUCGGUUUGUUUGCAGACGACCGGGGAGAGUGAUCAAAUGUUUGCCUUUCAGAUUACCAUGCAAAGUCUGGCUGGGAAAGUGCAAAUACCUCAGAGAUGGAAUGCAUGUCAACAUGGUGUCUAUAUGUAGACGUUUUGUUCUAGACAAAUGCUUUAAACACCUUUUACACUUUUUUUUUUUGUUUGAUGUUG